AUUUAUAUAAUAUAUUUAGUAUAUUUGACUUCCAAUCAAAAGGUUUAAUUUUUUUUUAAUGUAAAUA
rnacentral:tRNA from 1 species